GUUAAGCGACUAAGCGUACACGGUGGAUGCCCUGGCAGUCAGAGGCGAUGAAGGGCGUGCUAAUCUGCGAUAAGCGCCGGUAAGGUGAUAUGAACCGUUAUAACCGGCGAUACCCGAAUGGGGAAACCCAGUGUGACUCGUCACACUAUCAUUAACUGAAUCCAUAGGUUAAUGAGGCGAACCGGGGGAACUGAAACAUCUAAGUACCCCGAGGAAAAGAAAUCAACCGAGAUUCCCCCAGUAGCGGCGAGCGAACGGGGAGGAGCCCAGAGCCUGAAUCAGCAUGUGUGUUAGUGGAAGCGUCUGGAAAGGCGCGCGAUACAGGGUGACAGCCCCGUACACAAAAGCGCAUGUGCUGUGAGCUCGAUGAGUAGGGCGGGACACGUGGUAUCCUGUCUGAAUAUGGGGGGACCAUCCUCCAAGGCUAAAUACUCCUGACUGACCGAUAGUGAACCAGUACCGUGAGGGAAAGGCGAAAAGAACCCCGGCGAGGGGAGUGAAAAAGAACCUGAAACCGUGUACGUACAAGCAGUGGGAGCACCCUUCGGGGUGUGACUGCGUACCUUUUGUAUAAUGGGUCAGCGACUUAUAUUCUGUAGCAAGGUUAACCGUAUAGGGGAGCCGGAGGGAAACCGAGUCUUAAC
rnacentral:rRNA from 1 species